AUUAAGAAUCACCGCAUGCACAUGUAUAUAUAUUUAUUCAUUAUAUACGUAUUCAUUAUAUUCUACAAAUAUUUUAUCAGUAAUGAUAACAGCGAUAAUAAAAUUGCAAUAACAAUAAUUAUACAAUAACGAUAAUGGUAAGAGGGUAUAAUAAUAACGAGUGGAGAUUGUAGAAAAUUAAAUGGGGAAUUAUUAAAAAACGCCAGUUAUAGCAAUAACAGAUAAGUAACACAGCAGAACGAGACCUGUUAUUUCUUAUAGUUUUUUGGGUGCUGAAUACGAAUCCGAUUUCCAAAUUGAUCCAUCAUGUCAAAAUUUAAGAGAUGACUAUUUAAAUUAUUUAAAACUAAGGGAGAUUUCUUUAGAUCGCUGAACAUGAAUCUAAUGUUAAAAUUAAGGAAGACUCCAUAUUUCUUUAAAGUCAUGAAUAUCUUGUUAACCAUAGUUACAAUCAAUCUAUAGUUAGACUAUCGAUCUAUAAUUACACAUUGCAUCGUAGUUACAAUAUUGGCAAAAUGAAAAUAGUUCUUUGUAAAUUUCUCAAAAUUGCGACAUGAUGGAGCAAUUUGGCAAAAGAAUUCGUUUUCAGCAACCAAGAAAACUGUAAGAAAUGACUAGUCUCGUUCUAAUGUUUGAAAGUCUUUUUUUUAAUUGUAUAAAGUGUAAACUCGAAAUGGAGUUCAUUUGCAACUUAUUUUAUCUUCGUCAUUAUUAUAUACAAUUAUCAGUUAUUAUAAUUAUUAUCAUCGUUAACGUUAUUUAUUAACAUCUUCGAUACCAUUCGUUGAAGAACACUUUAACAUAUCUGCAAUUAUGUUCUUUCUGUUUUUCGGUGAUAACCGGGCGAUAAUUUUAUUACUCUCACGAUAAAAUAUAUCGAAUUGGACUUGCGGAAAAACUAUUUUAACCAAUAGUACGCAUACAAUAUUGGACUGGAAUGAUCUUUCAAUAAUUUCUAGUAAGUUUUUUACAAGUCUAAAAAAAGGACAAAACAUCCUUAAUCUAAAUCCGCGAUUCAAAUCUCGCGCCCUCCGCCGCGACCGAAAGUUCUAGAAAGAGGGGGGGGGGGGACGGAGAGUGAAUCGGACUAAAGUAAGUCGCACGUUCGAAUCUCAACGGCAACGUUCCCGACGUUUACACGAGGGUGCCACACAAUAUCCUGGGAGACAGAUAAAAACGAUCUAUUCGCAGAGCGACGGGCGAGAAAAGGGAAAAUGCGCGGCGGAAAAUGCCACCCCCUCGGCAGUCGGGAGAGGAAGAUUCCGCGACGUGGUUGUCGAUUGCUCGUAAUAUCCUUGCGAUAUGUACAAUUAAUAUCUACCUCGACAUCGUCAAAGCCAGUGUACUCCUCAACGAGCUCCAGAAGCGGCUCCAGGCACUGCAGAGGUGUAGUAGUGCCGCAAGUCUUCAGUAUGAGUCUGCGUUUGGACACAAACAUACUGCUCUCACUGCGGACAAAUAUAUAAUCACAUGAUUAGCCGUUUCGCUGAUGACAAAAUAUGCGGUUUUUAUUGAAUCUUCAACGCACAUUUUCUGACAGUCCAUGCUCGGGGAAUUCCACGUUCGGAGGAUGCUUGGAUUUCGCGAGUCGUCAUUAGCUCUGGGAGAUAUCGAUCGUUUGCAGAGACGUAAAAGGAAAAGAAAUGAUUCCAAGAAAACAGUGAGAUUAAUUUGCGGAGAAACUCUUUGGAAACUUUGAGAAGGGUCACCGUUUAUCCUUUCGGAUCUAAGGAUAAUAUAAGUCGUCGCCAUCAUUAUUACUAAUUAGGAGCAAAAAUAUUGGAAAAUUCGCAUGCGAUUGUUCGCCUAAGUUUGUUUAAAGGUUCAAACUAUAAAAAACGAAACAUAAAUACAGGAGUCAAGCUGGUUUUGUGUGUUUGCGUAAAAUUUAUAAUAAUCUACAAGUAUAAAAACCUUCGUGUUUCUGCUAAAUCAAUACAAUUCAUUGUCAAAAAUCGGCAGCAGAAUUUAGUGUGAUGUAACGGAAGCAAAUUUCAGACAGGUAUAUAAAAAAAAUUUAAUGUACAUUUAAUGUAAAUUUAACGUUGUCUAAGUUGCACUAAAGUUCAUGCACACGCUUUACAGUUAUAGAUAUAUUAAAUUUAACGUACAACUUAAAAAUACAUCGAAUGACACUUUUAACAGUGUAUUCCUUUCUACUAUAUUUGUGCUGCGAAAGUAUUCUUUUCCAAGAUGAUAACAACAAAUCGUUGCCAUCAGUACUGCUGAUUGAUAGCGAAAAUACUCGAAGAUUCGCAUACGCACGACCGCUAUCGAAUUACUGGAAGAGGGAGAGAGGGUUAAAACGCGCGCGGAGGGUUAAAACGCGCGAAAGUGUCACCUUGACCAUAUUUAUUUAUAGGGGCGGCACUAGGUCGACUCGCGCACCCUCAAAUAUUCUGGAACCGGGGCACGUCGCAUCCCGUCCCAUCCCAUCCCAUCUCAUCCCGUCCCAUCUCAUCCCGCCGCCGUGUCGCGACCGGCCGGGCCGGGCCGGACGGUGCACCUCUUCUCCAUCAAAACAAUUCGAUAUAUCGAUUAUACCACACCGGUACGGGCGGCUGAGUGUUUCUCUCUCUCUCUCUCUCUCUCUCGUUCUUUUUUCUCGGAACGCCCCUUGGAGCACCAACCCUCUCCCGGCUUUCUACGCGCGUCACGAAAAAUUGCGCCGUUGGUCGCACCCUCCGAGCACCCGCGCUCGCUUCUCGCCCAUCUGCGCGGCCUAACAAUUAGCUCCGCGUUUCCCGUCAGACGUAGAUUACCGUCGUUGCUCUGAUUUACUAGGGAUGGCAAGCGACGCGUUACAAGUAACGAAUUACUCCCAUUUUUCUCCUCAACUUGAAUUGAACUUCUUCAGCUCAAGUAUUUGUAUAUUUAAGUUAAAUAUAUAAAUGCUUAAACUGAAGUUCAAGAUCUCAUGUAUUUAAGUUGAAUAUUUCAACUGAAGAAAUUUAAUCUACACUCGUUGUUAGUCAAAAGUAAGCGGUACGGCAGAAAAAUUGGAAAAGUUUACGAAACUUCAAACUUGUAUCUCAGUGAAUAAUUAUAAUACAGAGAUGUUAAAAAAAAAAAAAACGAACAUCAAGCUUGCAGUCUGUACUUUGAAAGACUUUCAAUGUCGAAUGAAUAUCGAAGUAUCAUCAAUAAUUUUCCAAUGGCCGAUAGAGUUGAUAGAAUCGAGGACUACAGAAUUGACAAGUAGAACAUUCUGUUUCUGGAGUUGCAAUUGACACAGUUCAGUGGAAUGAAAAGGGCGUGAAAUUUCAAAAUGCAUUUGUGCAGAACCCGAUACGAUAAGUUAUGUCAUUCUAAAAAAAAAUGAGUUUUCGUACGAAACAACGAUAAUUGUGAAAUGUAAUGCCGUCAUUAUCAAUUCAACCCAUUGCAAUUCUGUCUAAGACAUUUCGCGUUGGUUGUUUGAAAUGGAAAUGAGAAAUUAAUUUUUUUUCUAAUUUUAUGCGUUAAAAGUUAAUUACAAGUCACAUUUUAAUGUACGAACUUUAUGUUCAUUUAUAUGACAACAUGUCUUUUGCCAAAGGUCUAGCUCACAGGAACAAAAGAGUAAUGAAAAAUAUUAAAAAAAAUCUCGUAAAUCUGGAAAUACUGAGAUCUUAUUUUAAACACAGAAAGCGAGCGAGAAAAUGAGAAUCUUGGAAAAGAAUAGAUUUAUCUUCAUAAACCGGAAAUUAAACUGCAAUUGAAACCUUUUUGCUAAAACCCAUUUGACAUUUCCUGAAAAACUUUCUCUACUAUUUUCCCUUCUAGGGAACGCUCCGAAGAAAGCGUAGAAAUUCUGAUUUCACGAUAUAUUGAACUCGAGAACUAUUGCAGCUCAAUACUUUCCCUUCCCCAAAAAGUUUUCAGACGAAAAACAGGGAGAAGAGAAGCUGCUGAAAAAUGUUCCGAUAGAAAUACGACAGCUAUUGUCUCCAACUGAUGCAAUACGAGUUUUGUCGAGCUGAACGGAAUUUCGAUCGAGACAUACAUCGCGCUGAAACAAUCCGAAAGAAGCCUGGCUUCGAAGUGGACCGUAAUAUAAUUCAGAUGAAUAAAAUUCCUGUCCGAGGACCUAAUCCAAAAGUACGCAAUGCCGCAACACUUUCGCAUUGCGCAUCUUUCCGCAUAAAUAUCGGAAGACGACGUUUGUCGUCUGAAUUUUUUAAUCAGCAAUGUUAUUCUACAUCCAGAGGAAAAUUACGUUUAAGUUGAUGAAAUCGUUUCUUUAACUUGGUUUCUUUAAGUGAAAAUAGCUUCGAGAAAAAUAAAAAUUUAUUUGAUUUCAAGAAAUGAUAUUAUUAGCCUUUGUUAAAGUAAAUAAAUUAUUUAUAACAAAUAAUUUUUUAAUUCAAAGAAAGUACCGACAAAAAUGUCAGAAAUAAUUCAGCUGUUCUAAAAAUACAUUUCUUUCAUUAAAAAAAAAAAAAUUUGCAAUACACAUCCAAACCUUUUCUUUAAUUCUAACAAAAGGAAUAACCAAAAAUUUUUUCAAGUCAAAGAAACUUUUCUUUGACCGCAUUUUUAACAAUGCACCAAUUUCUUUGAUUCAAACAAAUUCUUUUUUACUCGAAGAGAAUUUUCUCUGGAUGUACGGUCGGCGCAAUUAGAAGUGAUGAUAAAAAUCUGAUAAGAUCUACUUCAGAUUAACUGAAGGACACCGUUUAAUCCGCUUAAGCUCGGCUUCGCGAGUGUAGUCACCUUCAAACUCGAUUCAAAUUACUUCCUACCUUUCUCUAGCUCUGAGAAUUGGAAAAGUAUGGCAAACAAGGAAGUUAAACCGAGUUUAAAGUUGAGUUGCAUUCGUGCAAACGGGUCUUGGAAUCUGGCAACAUAUUUUAACGGCUUCUUUUUUUUCCUCUAGAAAGGCUUUCAGCUAGACAAUCCAGAGACAAAAUAUUAAAACACAACGAUUCCCGAACAACUGCAACGUGAAAUAGAAUUUUCUACGCGCUAAUUUUCAGAGGAGAAAACCAAGUCGUAAGUUAUAUGUUAGACGAGAUAAUCGACGAGAUACAACGAAACAUGACACAAUGGAGGGAUCCCGUCGCCACCGCUCCUUUGACGCAAAUAUUUCUCAUUACAUUCCAAGGUUCCUUCUUUUAUUCGGUCGGGUCAAACCAGAGAAUCUAUUACCUGAGUGCGAUUUUCGUACAUUUUGAUUUACAAGCGAAACCACUUACCUCAGGACGUAGGCGUCCACUUGAUCGUUUCGGCAGAAACUAAUGAUUUCGCAACGGACGAUCUUCAGCAGUGAUUCCCAUUUUUGCCUCUACGAUCGACGGAUAAUGUAAAUGCCAUUCGGUCGCUCGAGGGAACUAAACGUCGGAGCCAAACUUCAAACGGGCUUCUCUACGACAAGGUUUCGGCAACAACACAGUUUCGGAACAGCUUCCUCGGUCUUCGGUCAGAUCAACACAUUUCGCCCGGCGUGCGGUCGCCACUUACUUCAUCGGUCGGCGGCAGCGGUGGGCUUCUAAAUUUAUUGUCGCCGCGAUAUGCAAAAAUAAACAGUGGUCGGCAUCGCCGACCGGCCUCGCCCGUAGGCACGCGCGCUGCUCCUCGAGAGAGGUUCAACGACACCCUGACGUUCCCUGACGUAAACAACUACAACAAUCGGAUCGGCGGCGGCCGGCGAUUACAUAAUCGCUGCGCGAUCGUGCCGCAAUGUAGAUACAGGUUGAGCAAAUCUUGCCUUAUCUCCUUGCUGAUUACCUCGAGCUCCGAGCAUUUCGCUUAUCCAAAUUUCUCGCGCUAAGCAUCGAGUAUCGAGAAUUCUCGGGAUCGCAGGGACGGGCGAGAGAUCGAGACGAAUAGACAAUCGAGCGACCUCGACUAACAAGUCCUUCAUAUCGAAAGUCUAAGUCCAGCGAUAGGUUUGACAAGAUAGGAACUCGCCGAUUGUUUUCUUCACGCACGUUUUCUUCGCGUUCGCGGACGUGCCUAAACUAUUCUAGAAUGACGUCUAGACUGAUGACUCAAGCGAUUAUGAAUCGAGCAUCCAGGAGAGAAAUUGAAAUUUUAAAGAAAUGUAAAAAAAAACAGAUGUACGCGAUAUUUUACGAUUUUUACACCUCGAUUAUCUUUGACAGUAAUUUUCAGAGUAGUCCUUUUCUUUACACGUGUUGACAAAUUGUUUUCGUACACGAAACAAAAGAUGUAUUAACAGGAUAAUUAACUAUCUUAUUAAUUCUUAUUAAUAUUAUAUUAUAAUGAAACAAAUGCGUCUCGUUGUAAUAAAAUGUUGUUUGUUUCGUUAAUAUUGUUACCGGAUUAUAAUAAUUUUCGAAAAAAAAACUGUUGAGCUGUUAUUGCA